rnacentral:rRNA from 1 species
UACGUAGGGGGCAAGCGUUGUCCGGAAUCAUUGGGCGUAAAGAGCGUGUAGGCGGCCUGGUAAGUCCGCUGUGAAAGUCCAGGGCUCAACCCUGGAAUGCCGGUGGAAACUGUCAGGCUCGAGCACAGUAGAGGCAGGUGGAAUUCCCGGUGUAGCGGUGGAAUGCGUAGAGAUCGGGAAGAACAUCAGUGGCGAAGGCGGCCUGCUGGGCUGUUGCUGACGCUGAGGCGCGACAGCGUGGGGAGCAAACAGG